CCCUUAGAUGUUCUGGGCCGCACGCGCGCUACACUGACUGCUCCAACAAGUUACCUGGGCUGACAAGCAUCCGGGAAAUCUUGCAAAGGCAGUCGUGAUGGGGAUAGAUUCUUGUAAUUUUUGAUCUUCAACGAGGAAUUCCUAGUAAACGCAAGUCAUCAGCUUGCAUUGAUUACGUCCCUGCCCUUUGUACACACCGCCCGUCGCAUCUACCGAUUGAAUGGAGAGGCAAAAUCUUCGGACCGUGACGCUUGGGAGUCAAAUCUCGGGCUGUCGUGGGAAGUGGAUUAAACCUUUCUAUGUAGAGGAAGGUAAAGUCGUAACA
rnacentral:rRNA from 1 species